rnacentral:rRNA from 1 species
UGGAUUCGUGCUCGAAAGAGAGCCAUAACACAGGUGCUGCAUGGCUGUCGUCAGCUCGUGUCGUGAGAUGUUGGGUUAAGUCCCGCAACGAGCGCAACCCUUGUCAUUAGUUGCUACAUUCAGUUGGGCACUCUAAUGAGACUGCCGGUGACAAACCGGAGGAAGGUGGGGAUGACGUCAAGUCCUCAUGGCCCUUAUAGGUGGGGCUACACACGUCAUACAAUGGCCGGUACAAAGGGUCGCAAACCCGCGAGGGGGAGCCAAUCCAUCAAAGCCGGUCGUAGUCCGGAUCGCAGUCUGCAACUCGACUGCGUGAAGUCGGAAUCGCUAGUAAUCGUGGAUCAGCAUGUCACGGUGAAUACGUUCCCGGGUCUU